rnacentral:rRNA from 1 species
UACGUAGGGGGCAAGCGUUGUCCGGAAUUAUUGGGCGUAAAGAGCGUGUAGGCGGUCCGGUAAGUCGGCUGUGAAAGUCCAGGGCUCAACCCUGGGAUGCCGGUCGAUACUGCCGGACUAGAGUAUCGGAGAGGUUGGUGGAAUUCUCGGUGUAGAGGUGAAAUUCGUAGAUAUCGAGAGGAACACCGGUGGCGAAGGCGGCCAACUGGACGAAUACUGACGCUGAGACUCGAAAGCGUGGGGAGCAAACAGG